GAUCCUGGCUCAAGAUGAACGCUGGCGGCGUGCCUAACACAUGCAAGUCGAACGAAACACCUUUUGAGAUUCUUUGGAUGAUUGAUUGGUGACUGAGUGGCGGACGGGUGAGUAACGCGUGGGUAACCUGCCCUGUACAGGGGGAUAACAGUUGGAAACGACCGCUAAUACCGCAUAACCCGCUAGGGCCGCAUGGCCCGGACGGAAAAGAUUUAUCGGUGUGAGAUGGACCCGCGUUGGAUUAGCUAGUUGG
rnacentral:rRNA from 1 species